CUCAAAGGAAUUGACGGGGACCCGCACAAGCGGUGGAUGAUGUGGUUUAAUUCGAUGCAACGCGAAAAACCUUACCCACCUUUGACAUGUACGGAAGUUGCCAGAGAUGGCUUCGUGCUCGAAAGAGAGCCGUAACACAGGUGCUGCAUGGCUGUCGUCAGCUCGUGUCGUGAGAUGUUGGGUUAAGUCCCGCAACGAGCGCAACCCUUGCCAUUAGUUGCUACGAAAGGGCACUCUAAUGGGACUGCCGGUGACAAACCGGAGGAAGGUGGGGAUGACGUCAAGUCCUCAUGGCCCUUAUAGGUGGGGCUACACACGUCAUACAAUGGCUGGUACAGAGGGUUGCCAACCCGCGAGGGGGAGCUAAUCCCAUAAAACCAGUCGUAGUCCGGAUCGCAGUCUGCAACUCGACUGCGUGAAGUCGGAAUCGCUAGUAAUCGCGGAUCAGCAUGUCGCGGUGAAUACGUUCCCGGGUCUUGUACACACCGCCCGUCACACCA
rnacentral:rRNA from 1 species